rnacentral:rRNA from 1 species
ACAAGGAAUAGUGCGCAAUGGGCGAAAGCCUGACGCUGCAACGCCGCGUGUAGGAUGAAGGCCUUCGGGUUGUAAACUCCUUUUCUCUGUGAAGAAUCUGACGGUAACAGAGGAAUAAGCUUCGGCUAACUACGUGCCAGCAGCCGCGGUCAUACGUAGGAAGCAAGCGUUAUCCGGAAUAACUGGGCGUAAAGAGUUGCGUAGGCGGCUUAUAAAGCAAACAGUGAAAUCGUCCCGCUCAACGGGACGGCUAUUGUUUGAACUCAUUAGCUUGAGAAUGGUAGAGGUAGUUGGAAUUCCCAGUGUAGGGGUGAAAUCCGUAGAUAUUGGGAGGAACACCAAUGGCGUAGGCAGACUACUGGACCAUUUCUGACGCUGAGGCACGAAAGCGUGGGGAGCGAACCG